ACUAAGCGUACACGGUGGAUGCCCUGGCAGUCAGAGGCGAUGAAGGACGUGCUAAUCUGCGAAAAGCGUCGGUAAGGUGAUAUGAACCGUUAUAACCGGCGAUGUCCGAAUGGGGAAACCCAGUGCAAUUCGUUGCACUAUCGUUAACUGAAUACAUAGGUUAACGAGGCGAACCGGGGGAACUGAAACAUCUAAGUACCCCGAGGAAAAGAAAUCAACCGAGAUUCCCCCAGUAGCGGCGAGCGAACGGGGAGCAGCCCAGAGUCUGAAUCAGCUUGUGUGUUAGUGGAACGGUCUGGAAAGUCCGACGGUACAGGGUGAUAGUCCCGUACACCAAAAUGCACAGGCUGUGAACUCGAAGAGUAGGGCGGGACACGUGGUAUCCUGUCUGAAUAUGGGGGGACCAUCCUCCAAGGCUAAAUACUCCUGACUGACCGAUAGUGAACCAGUACCGUGAGGGAAAGGCGAAAAGAACCCCGGCGAGGGGAGUGAAAAAGAACCUGAAACCGUGUACGUACAAGCAGUGGGAGCACCUUCGGGUGUGACUGCGUACCUUUUGUAUAAUGGGUCAGCGACUUAUAUUCUGUAGCAAGGUUAACCGUAUAGGGGAGCCGCAGGGAAACCGAGUCUUAACUGGGCGUUAAGUUGCAGGGUAUAGACCCGAAACCCGGUGAUCUAGCCAUGGGCAGGUUGAAGGUUGGGUAACACUAACUGGAGGACCGAACCGACUAAUGUUGAAAAAUUAGCGGAUGACUUGUGGCUGGGGGUGAAAGGCCAAUCAAACCGGGAGAUAGCUGGUUCUCCCCGAAAGCUAUUUAGGUAGCGCCUCGUGAACUCAUCUUCGGGGGUAGAGCACUGUUUCGGCUAGGGGGUCAUCCCGACUUACCAACCCGAUGCAAACUACGAAUACCGAAGAAUGUUAUCACGGGAGACACACGGCGGGUGCUAACGUCCGUCGUGAAGAGGGAAACAACCCAGACCGCCAGCUAAGGUCCCAAAGUCAUGGUUAAGUGGGAAACGAUGUGGGAAGGCACAGACAGCCAGGAUGUUGGCUUAGAAGCAGCCAUCAUUUAAAGAAAGCGUAAUAGCUCACUGGUCGAGUCGGCCUGCGCGGAAGAUGUAACGGGGCUAAACCAUGCACCGAAGCUGCGGCAGCGACACUAUGUGUUGUUGGGUAGGGGAGCGUUCUGUAAGCCUGCGAAGGUGACCUGUGAGGGUUGCUGGAGGUAUCAGAAGUGCGAAUGCUGACAUAAGUAACGAUAAAGCGGGUGAAAAGCCCGCUCGCCGGAAGACCAAGGGUUCCUGUCCAACGUUAAUCGGGGCAGGGUGAGUCGACCCCUAAGGCGAGGCCGAAAGGCGUAGUCGAUGGGAAACAGGUUAAUAUUCCUGUACUUGGUGUUACUGCGAAGGGGGGACGGAGAAGGCUAUGUUAGCCGGGCGACGGUUGUCCCGGUUUAAGCAUGUAGGCUGGUUGUCCAGGCAAAUCCGGAUAAUCAAGGCUGAGGUGUGAUGACGAGGCACUACGGUGCUGAAGUAACAAAUGCCCUGCUUCCAGGAAAAGCCUCUAAGCAUCAGGUAACAUCAAAUCGUACCCCAAACCGACACAGGUGGUCAGGUAGAGAAUACCAAGGCGCUUGAGAGAACUCGGGUGAAGGAACUAGGCAAAAUGGUGCCGUAACUUCGGGAGAAGGCACGCUGGUGUGUAGGUGAAGCCCCUGCGGGUGGAGCUGAGACCAGUCGAAGAUACCAGCUGGCUGCAACUGUUUAUUAAAAACACAGCACUGUGCAAACACGAAAGUGGACGUAUACGGUGUGACGCCUGCCCGGUGCCGGAAGGUUAAUUGAUGGGGUUAUCCGUAAGGAGAAGCUCUUGAUCGAAGCCCCGGUAAACGGCGGCCGUAACUAUAACGGUCCUAAGGUAGCGAAAUUCCUUGUCGGGUAAGUUCCGACCUGCACGAAUGGCGUAAUGAUGGCCAGGCUGUCUCCACCCGAGACUCAGUGAAAUUGAACUCGCUGUGAAGAUGCAGUGUACCCGCGGCAAGACGGAAAGACCCCGUGAACCUUUACUAUAGCUUGACACUGAACAUUGAGCCUUGAUGUGUAGGAUAGGUGGGAGGCUUUGAAGCGUGGACGCCAGUCUGCGUGGAGCCAACCUUGAAAUACCACCCUUUAAUGUUUGAUGUUCUAACGUUGGCCCCUGACCGGGGUUGCGGACAGUGUCUGGUGGGUAGUUUGACUGGGGCGGUCUCCUCCCAAAGCGUAACGGAGGAGCACGAAGGUUAGCUAAUCCUGGUCGGACAUCAGGAGGUUAGUGCAAUGGCAUAAGCUAGCUUGACUGCGAGCGUGACGGCGCGAGCAGGUGCGAAAGCAGGUCAUAGUGAUCCGGUGGUUCUGAAUGGAAGGGCCAUCGCUCAACGGAUAAAAGGUACUCCGGGGAUAACAGGCUGAUACCGCCCAAGAGUUCAUAUCGACGGCGGUGUUUGGCACCUCGAUGUCGGCUCAUCACAUCCUGGGGCUGAAGUAGGUCCCAAGGGUAUGGCUGUUCGCCAUUUAAAGUGGUACGCGAGCUGGGUUUAGAACGUCGUGAGACAGUUCGGUCCCUAUCUGCCGUGGGCGCUGGAGAAUUGAGGGGGGCUGCUCCUAGUACGAGAGGACCGGAGUGGACGCAUCACUGGUGUUCGGGUUGUCAUGCCAAUGGCACUGCCCGGUAGCUAAAUGCGGAAGAGAUAAGUGCUGAAAGCAUCUAAGCACGAAACUUGCCCCGAGAUGAGUUCUCCCUGAGACUUUAAGUCUCCUGAAGGAACGUUGAAGACGACGACGUUGAUAGGCCGGGUGUGUAAGCGCAGCGAUGUGUUGAGCUAACCGGUACUAAUGAACCGUGAGGCUUAACC
rnacentral:rRNA from 2 species